AUGCAAAGCUGCCUGGGAAUAUUUUACCGUCAGCGUUAAAUUAUAGAGUAAUUUCAAAAUAAUUCCAUUAUUUCAAUCUCAUACUGGCAGAGACCCUGGUGAAGAAACAGAGAUCGUCGGCCAUGUUUGAAAGCUCAAAAAGUAAUCAAAAUAAACCUGAAAUUAAGGAUCUGUAUAUAGGAAGAUGAAGCACACGAUGUCUUCGAUGGCCGGAGAGGUGAUCGUAAAGCCGACGUUACACGACGGUGCUUUGUGGCUCCAUGGGCUUCUGGUGGUGCGCCUGCGUCUUCGAGUUUUGGUCCUGUUAUGAACCGCCAGUACGGUGCGUUCGGUGCUGUGACGCUUGACUAAGGGAUGCUCAUGAUAUGUCUCAGAAGCCAAUCCAACUCCAGCCUUGAGGGAUUGGUGAGUUCUGUUGAAAUGGUAAAAUUUGUAGCAAUCAAUGCCAGGCCAACCGUACUAGUUUAUUUGCCUUUCACUUCCUCAAGCAGUGUCGAGGGCAUCAAUUGGCAGGGCCCUAAACUUACUAUUGUAGAAUACUACAUGAUGCUUGCAGAUCCUUCCUUUUUAUAUAAGCUUCUCUUAGAGCAGGCUACUACAAUUGGUUGCUCAGUUUGGUGGGAGUUUAAGAACAGGAAGUGUAGAUAUGUCUUCCUUUUAUGACAAGGGAUUGAAAUUGUCUGGUUUUUGCAUUGAAAUGCUGAAGUAAUUGAUGGUUCCUUUACUAUCGGAUAAACCAAGAAUGGGAUCUGGCACUUGUUCAUGUGCUCAUUGUUGCAGCAUGCGAUGCUAUUGUUGUUUGGUCGCCUGCUCCUUGUCGUUCACAUGGUAACAUGUUCCGGUUUGAUUUGCAAAAUACAUUGCAGAAGCUCCCAAACAACAUAUUUGAAAGAAGCUAUUCACUAAGGGAAUUUGAUUUACAAAAGAGAUUGCACUCUUUCUUCUAUAAGACUGCAGAGUUGUGUAUGGCUGGGCUAACUGCUGGAGCAGUGCAAGGUUCUUUAUCAAAUUAUCUAGCCAGUAAGGAGGGAAAAUAUGAAGCAAAAGAAAACCCACUUAAACUGUUUCUUUUGUAAAACUAAAUAGUACUGAUUAGAGUUUAUCAAUAAGAAUGAAGAAACCAUUGUGACUUCUCUCUGAAAGUUUAACUAUCGAAGAAUUUACCCUGCAGGCUUGAGAAGCAUUGGUUUAUGUACUUUAAGAAAAAAAUUAUUGAAGAACUAUUCUAUGAUGGAUGAUAAUUGAAUAACUUUUUUGUUGUGCUGUGAGUAUAAUGUUUAUAUGUAAUGUUUACAUAUUUCAAAUAUAACAUUCUCUGGGGAAUGUCAUGAAUUUGGAAUAGAUUUAGGGGUUUAAGAAGAGUUGUUAUUUGAAAAAAACGUGUUGCCCUUGAUUGUUGUUUUUAGCGAAAUAUUCGGCUUACCUACCAUAAUAAAUUAAAUUGGUCAAACUAAUUUUGUUCUCUGCAAUUGUUAACUUGUUUGGCAGGUUAUCUGUGUCGAUACCAAGCACAAGCACUAAUGCACUUGGUUAUGGUGGCUGUCCUAGGACUUUAUGCUAACGUGAGAUAUCAGCUCUUAUGUGGAUAUGACAGGGCAAUGUCAAACCACGUUGAUGUCAUUAGAGGGUCGCUGUUUUUCAGCAUAGCAUUGAAGGUUCUCCAAAUAUGAAGCGCAGAAUAGACAACCAUCAACCCAGUUUGAAUGGAGAACACAAUAGGCCUCCUGUCUAGUGUGAACUUGCUGUUAUAUUAGCCGACCUGCAAUCAAGAACACUUGCCAAGAAGUUUGAUGAAAUAAUAGAACUUCUAUAACUAGAGCUUUUAAGAGAAUUGACCUGUACAAGGUGCAUGGCGCUCUGAAGGGAAAGGCUGGUUCACGAAUCCUUCCUCACAAUUAGGGUGAUAUCAGUAUCAUGAAGGCUGGACCUGAAGCAAACAAGUUUGAAGAGUCUAUUACUAACCUCUUUGGUGAAGAUGCAAAUGAAGAUGCUUGACUUUCAUGUUAGAACUUCUAAGACUAGGUGUUGCAUCUGACUCGUUGAGACUGCCAUAAAUUCAUAUACAUUUUUAAAGCGCGAUUUUUGGGAGUUGCUCUCACAGCAGGUGCUUCAACGAAUGUGUAUAACGGGGCAGAGUGGAAUGUAGGAAUUUGUGAAUAGAAAUUAUAAAUAUUAUUUAUUUAUUUGGUUGUCACUACAACAGGACAGUUGCUUUUGCUUUUGGGAAAGUGAGACAUUCUUGUGUUAUAAGUGUUGAAAAAUGUAAAGCGAGAGAAUGCAA